AAUGAACGUUGGCGGCGUGGAUUAGGCAUGCAAGUCGAGCGCGAACCGUAGCAAUACGGGGAGAGCGGCGAAAGGGAGAGUAAUACGUGGAUACCUGCCCUCGGGUUCGGGAUAGCUACGGGAAACUGUAGGUAAUACCGAAUAACAUCUUCGGAUCAAAGGUGUGAUUCCGCCCGGGGAGGGGUCCGCGUCCUAUUAGCUAGUUGGUGAGGUAGCGGCCCACCAAGGCGAAGGUGGGUAUGGGGUGUGAGAGCAUGACCCCACUCACUGGGACUGAGACACUGCCCAGACACCUACGGGUGGCUGCAGUCGAGAAUCUUCGGCAAUGGGGGAAACCCUGACCGAGUGACGCCGCGUGCGAGAUGAAGGCCUUCGUGUUGUAAAUCGCUGUCAGAGGGGAGGAAAUGCCGGGAAGUAAUUCAUAAUCAACUCGGUUUGACCUAGCCUCAGAGGAAGGACGGGCUAAGUUCGUGCCAGCCGCCGCAGUAA
rnacentral:rRNA from 1 species